GGAUUAGAUACCCUGGUAGUCCAUGCCGUAAACGAUGAGAACUAGGUGUUGGGUAGUUUACUACUUAGUGCCGCAGCUAACGCAUUAAGUUCUCCGCCUGGGGAGUACGGCCGCAAGGCUAAAACUUAAAGGAAUUGACGGGGGCCCGCACAAGCGGUGGAGCAUGCGGUUUAAUUCGAUGCAACGCGAAAAACCUUACCUACCCUUGACAUCCUUGGAAUCUUCUAGAGAUAGAAGAGUGCCUUCGGGAACCAAGUGACAGGUGCUGCAUGGCUGUCGUCAGCUCGUGCCG
rnacentral:rRNA from 1 species